GCUUCUAUUCAGAUUGAUGUACAAAAUGCUGUUGCAUAAGCUCAAAACACUGAUGGAGUGCUUAGAAAAUAUGCGGUGUUUAAACAAGUUAAACUGUUCCACGCCUGAUAUCCUUGAAGAAAAGGUUAGCAUUGCCUUGUGCUGAAAAUUCUCAAAUAAUAACGUAGUACUAGUUAAUGGUUAUAGAAAUAAUUACAGUUUUAAUAAUUAAACAGUCUUCAAGCAGCUUGCAUUUGGAUGUUCUUAAUUGUGCUGUAUAAUUAAAAGCAAUUUGUAAACAAAAGAUGUUUCAUAAAGGAAGCUGAACGUACUAAGUAUGCCUUUGGGCUGUAUCUACGCAGUCUCAAAUACAAAAUCCUGGUGGAGCAUUUAGAGAACCUAUGGUUACAGUAACUGUUCUUCACAGCUCAGGCGUUUGACCUUCCUUUUGGUGAAGUGAAUAAAUACCGCUGGUCUCUAUCUGUGCUUCUAGGCACCUUGAAGUUCUUAGGAAAAGAAUAACUGUCUGCAGUUCUUCUUGAUGAUAUAAGUAACAGCUUGAAUGUUGCUGCCCACUAGGUAGACCUAAAGAAGCAGAUUACAGUUAAACACCUGUUAAAUCACCCUUGGCUCAUGCAAGGUUAUUCUGAUGCUGUUCAGUGGCAAAGUAAAUACCCACUGGGGCACCUUGAUGAAGACUGUGUAACAGAACUUCCUGUGUUUCACAACCAGAGCAGAGUAUGUCGGCAUUAAUAUCAGAGGUAAUAAAUGUGGAAUUAUGACCGGAUGUUAGCAACCUAUCUCUUGAUUCAAUCCAGGAAGGUUCGUGGCAAGCGCAUCCACUUAAGAAUUCCAUCACAAACGACGUGCCAGUACAACACAGCCAGCAAGCCAGGGGGUGUCAUUCUGUGGAUUUAGAUCUCAACCUAGCUCAUGUGGAGAGCAGCCAAAAGAAGAGAAAGGCCAAACGACUUGGAAGUCUUCAAAGAGGCCUGGAUAAAGUGAUUACAGUGCUUACAGCAGGCAAAAAAGGAAGUGAUUCAGCAGACAUGGGCCAAGAAAACUUAAGAGUCUUAUGAUGAUCAUACCGGGGAGCUGAAGCAUUUGUCUGUAUGGUUGGAUAUUCUGCAGCUUUCAGCGUGAAAAGGCACACUAUGAUGUUACCAUGACUCAACUACUGAAUCCAGACCAAGUGAUGAAUGAAAUAAUCUCUGUCCUUUCAAAGAUGGGCUACACCCUGAAAUGCCAAACAAAGCCAGAUUUUGGCAAAGAAUCUAUGAAGUUUGAGCUAGAAGCGUGUCAGCUCAGUAAAAAUGAAGCAGUUGGUAUCAGAAGACAGAGGCUCAGAGGGAAUGCGGGGGUCUACAAGAGACUGGUGGAAGACGUUUUAUCCAGCUGCCAAGUGUGACUGCUGCUCAGAAAGCCACAAUGCUGUGCUGAGACUUUGAUCAUUAUUUUAGAAAAAUCACUUUGGAAAUGUAAUUUGUGAUCUCCUUCACAGCUGUAUUUCAGAAAUCUUGUCAGCUAUUACAGUUUUAACCACCCCCUUUGCGUAUAUGCCCACUGCAUGUUUCCUUUUCUUACAAAAACUGUCAACUUUUCCUACACGUUCUGCAGAUGUAGCUCGACUGAAAUAAAAUUCCUUAAACUAC